AUGGUGGUGGCUAAGCAGAAAUAUCUUGCUCAAUCGUUGUUGAAGCUGCAGCGGAUCGACAUCCUGAAGUUGAGCAGUACGCAAUCAGGGUGUUUCCUGAUGCUUUGGAUGCUAUUUCCACUAGCUUUACCUGAAAACAGUGGUGGCGCUGGUCGGUCGUCGCCUCUCCACCGGCUAUUGUUUGGCGGCGUCAAGCAGAACGCUGAGGAUGCGCCGCUCUGUCUCAGGGCUCAACGCCCUCUUGGACGCAGAGGUUGGCAGGUUCUCGCUCUUCACCGGGGCUCCGGCGGUCGUGCUUGGUGUGGCAGCGCUGGACAGCGGCAAGAAGGAAGAGCAUGGGCGGCCCGCGAUGCCAGGCCCCUGGCCCUCCUCCCUCAAGCUCAAGGCGGCGAUGAGAUGGUUGGAAUGGUGCUGCUGCUCCGUAGGGAAUCAGGUUUUAUGCUCGGUGGGGAUGUUGUUUGUCUACUUUUAUCUUAUGCAAAAUAA
rnacentral:rRNA from 1 species